rnacentral:tRNA from 5 species
ACUAUUUUGACAGAUAAAUGUGAUGGUUUUAGAAAUCAUUAAUAUAUAAUUUAAUUAUAUAAAUAGUA